GUGUUCUUAGGCAAAUCCGGGGACACGUACUUUAAUGUACACACUGAGAGCUGAUGACGAGGUCCUAAGGGACUGAAGUAGUUGAUGCCAUGCUUCCAGGAAAAUCUUCUAAGCUUCAGGUUAGUGGGAAUCGUACCCCAAACCGACACAGGUGGUCGGGUAGAGAAUACCAAGGCGCUUGAGAGAACUCGGCUGAAGGAACUAGGCAAAAUGGUACCGUAACUUCGGGAGAAGGUACGCUCCUGUUGGUGAUGAGACUUGCUCUCUAAGCUGACGGGAGUCGCAGAUACCAGGUGGCUGCAACUGUUUAUCAAAAACACAGCACUGUGCAAACUCGCAAGAGGAAGUAUACGGUGUGACGCCUGCCCGGUGCCGGAAGGUUAAUUGAUUGGGUUAUCGCAAGAGAAGCUCAUGAUCGAAGCCCCGGUAAACGGCGGCCGUAACUAUAACGGUCCUAAGGUAGCGAAAUUCCUUGUCGGGUAAGUUCCGACCUGCACGAAUGGCGUAAUGAUGGCCACGCUGUCUCCAGCCGAGACUCAGUGAAGUUGAAAUUGCGGUGAAGAUGCCGUAUACCCGCGGCUAGACGGAAAGACCCCGUGAACCUUUACUAUAGCUUGGCACUGAACAUUGAACCUACAUGUGUAGGAUAGGUGGGAGACUUUGAAGUUGUGACGCUAGUCAUGAUGGAGUCGUCCUUGAAAUACCACCCUUGUAGUUUUGAUGUUCUAACCUAGGUCCCUUAUCGGGAUUAGGGACAGUGCCUGGUGGGUAGUUUGACUGGGGCGGUCUCCUCCCAAAGAGUAACGGAGGAGCACGAAGGUUGGCUAAGUACGGUCGGACAUCGUACGGUUAGUGCAAUGGCAUAAGCCAGCUUAACUGCGAGACAUACACGUCGAGCAGGUACGAAAGUAGGU
rnacentral:rRNA from 1 species